GUCUGGUAGUUCAGCUGGUUAGAAUACCUGCCUGUCACGCAGGGGGUCGCGGGUUCGAGUCCCGUCCAGACCG
rnacentral:tRNA from 1 species